UACAGAGGGGGCAAGCGUUGUUCGGAAUUACUGGGCGUAAAGGGCGCGUAGGCGGCCUGUUAAGUCGGACGUGAAAUCCCUCGGCUCAACCGGGGAACUGCGUCCGAUACUGGCGGGCUUGAAUUCGGGAGAGGGAUGUGGAAUUCCCAGUGUAGCGGUGAAAUGCGUAGAUACUGGGAGGAACACCGGUGGCGAAGGCGGCUACCUGGACCGGUUCUGACGCUGAUGCGCGAAAGCGUGGGUAGCAAACAGG
rnacentral:rRNA from 1 species